rnacentral:rRNA from 1 species
AUUGAACGCUGGCGGCAGGCUUAACACAUGCAAGUCGAGCGGGGGAGGUUGCUUCGGUAACUGACCUAGCGGCGGACGGGUGAGUAAUGCUUAGGAAUCUGCCAUUUAGUGGGGGACAACAUUCCGAAAGGAAUGCUAAUACCGCAUACGUCCUACGGGAGAAAGCAGGGGAUCUUCGGCCCUUGCGCUAAAUGAUGAGCCUAAGUCGGAUUAGCUAGUUGGGGGGGUAAAGGCCUACCAAGGGGACGAUCUGUAGCGGGUCUGAGAGGAUGAUCCGCCACACUGGGACUGAGACACGGCCCAGACUCCUACGGGAGGCAGCAGUGGGGAAUAUUGGACAAUGGGCGGAAGCCUGAUCCAGCCAUGCCGCGUGUGUGAAGAAGGCCUUAUGGUUGUAAAGCACUUUAAGCGAGGAGGAGGCUACCUAGAUUAAUACUCUAGGAUAGUGGACGUUACUCGCAGAAUAAGCACCGGCUAACUCUGUGCCAGCAGCCGCCGUAAUAC